GAUGAACGCUGGCGGCGUGCCUAAUACAUGCAAGUCGAGCGAACGGACGAGAAGCUUGCUUCUCUGAUGUUAGCCGCGCACGGGUGAGUAACACGUGUAUAACCUACCUAUAAGACUGGGAUCACUUCGAGACACCGGCUCUAAUCCCGGAUAAUCUUUUGAACCGCAUGGUUCAAAAGUAAGAGACGGUCUUGCUGUCACUUCUCGCUGGAUCCGGGCUGCUUUAGCUAGUUGGUAAGGUAACGGCUUAGCACGGCAACUAUGCAUAGCCGACCUGUGAGAGGGGUAGGCGGCACGGGAAGUUGAACGCGGUCAAUGGUCCUACGAGAGGCAGCAGUAGGGAAUCUGCCGCAAUGGGCGGAAGCCUGACGGAGCAACGGCGAGUGAGAGAUGAAGGUCUUCGGAUCGUAAAACUCUGUUAUUGGGGAAGAACAUAUUUGUAAGUAACUGUGCACAUCUUGACGGUACCUAAUCAGAAAGCCACGGCUAACUACGUG
rnacentral:rRNA from 1 species